UGUGUGGGUAGACCCACAGCCUUGAAGGAUUGUCAAGGCCAGUCUCUGAAGUGGAGACAGACAGUAAGGCUCUGAUGAGCUCUGAUGAGGACUGAUGCCAAGGUGGGUGAGAGGAAGCACACAGGAGCCCUGCUGCAGACAAGAGCUUCAUUCACCAAAGAGUUGAGCUCAGAAACAAAGCAAAUGUUUAGUCGUAUAGCAAAUGGGAAUCUUCUUAAUUUAUUCAGAAGAAUGCAAUACACCUGACAUGGAAAAUCUGAAAUGGGAGAAAGAAGCGUAGCCUUAGUAAAGUGUGUCUCAGUUCCUAGAAGGUAGCAAAGACUUUGUAUUCCCUUGCCUCUGGGAGGAAUUGUAUAAUAAGGUUGAAGAAGAAAUUGCUUAUAGACUGCAAAGCACGACAGAGUGAUAAAAGAAUGACAUGGAGCUAGCUUGAACAAUGGGAAUCUCAGGAAUAACCAUAGUACCUGUGAGAAUGGAGGAGACUCCCCAAUGCUUUUGUUCUUCAUAAGACUCCAGGACCUUUGCAGGGCACUGGGUGGGGGAAUCUUCCAAAUAGUUGAGUUUAAAUUUCCCAUCAGUUUGGCAGGAUGGAACUUGUGAAUGGAAUUAAUUUUAUUCAUUUUUUUUGUUUCUUGUUGUUUUUGCUAUAAUUAUUAUCAUUUAUUUUUUACUUUAGGGCAACAAAUAGGACUAAUCAUAGUCUUUGGUUCAUGGCAUACUGCCAUCAUUGCUUAUUCAUGGCCUGCAUUUAUUUUAUUUAUAUAACUUUAUGUAUUUAUUAUCAAUAUGAUGAAAUUAUAUAAAUCCAUUGCUCAAUGCAAUAACUGGAAUUUAAUAUACAUCUAUGUGCUCUCCCUCAUUCCAUUUUCUUUGUCUGCCUUUGGAGUAGCCAUUAUUUUGAUUUUUAUGUUUAUCUUUACCCUGUCUUAAAGAAAAAUUAUAAUAUGCAUACAUUGUCCUAAAAUAUUUUGUUUAGUUUUGCUUCUUUUUCGGUUUUAUAAAAAGAGUAUGAGAAUGUGUGCAUCUUCUGGGACUUGCUUCUUCCUCUCAUCAUUAUCAUAAUAAGAUUCAUCCAUGUGUUACGUGUAAUUUGGUUCAUUAGUUUUCAUUGAUAUUGAAUAUUUCUGCGGUUAUGCUACAGUUUAUUCAUACUUCUGUCAAUGGGCAUCUGGAUUAUUUCCAGACUUUUGCUAUCAUUGACAGGGCUGCUCUGUGUUUUCUGGUACACAUUAGCUAAACUUCUCUUGGGUAAACACCUUGGAGUGGAAUUGCUGGUUUAUUGUGUGUGCAAAUAUUCAACUGUAUAGAUAAUGCUAAAUUGUUUUCCAAAGUGAUUAUUCCAAGUUACAUUCCAUUAGCAAUGUGUGAGAGCCCAUUGAUCUACAAUCUCUGUAAUACUUGGUAUUGUCAAUGUUUUGGUUUUGCCCAUUGAAUGAAUGUAAAAUAACUUUCUUGCUCCUUUUUCACGUUUCCCUGAUUACUGGUUGCUUUAAGCUUCACAUUUUAUGCUUUUUGUUGUUACAUGUUUUCUAUUCCAUGAAAUGCCUAUUCAGGUGUUUUGUCCAUUUUUCAUUUCUUUUUGUAUCUUUGUUAUUAACUUAUAAGAGUUCUUCACUUAUAAAUAAUAUCAA